UUUUUUCUCAGUGAUGUGUCGAACAAUGAUUUGUGUGGAACUAUCCCAAUAGAAGGACCUUUUGAACACAUUCCUUUGGAGAACUUUGAGAACAACUCGAGAUUGGAGGGACCGGAGUUACUCGGUCUUGCAAGCUACGACACCAACUGCAACUGAGACAACUAG